rnacentral:rRNA from 1 species
CUGACGCUGAGGUACGAAAGCAUGGGGAGCAAACAGGAUUAGAUACCCUGGUACUCCAUGCCGUAAACGAUGUCUACUAGCCGUUGGGGCCUUUGAGGCUUUAGUGGCGCAGCUAACGCGAUAAGUAGACCGCCUGGGGAGUACGGUCGCAAGACUAAAACUCAAAUGAAUUGACGGGGGCCCGCACAAGCGGUGGAGCAUGUGGUUUAAUUCGAUGCAACGCGAAGAACCUUACCUGGCCUUGACAUACUAGAAACUUUCCAGAGAUGGAUUGGUGCCUUCGGGAAUCUAGAUACAGGUGCUGCAUGGCUGUCGUCAGCUCGUGUCGUGAGAUGUUGGGUUAAGUCCCGCAACGAGCGCAACCCUUUUCCUUACUUGCCAGCAUUUCGGAUGGGAACUUUAAGGAUACUGCCAGUGACAAACUGGAGGAAGGCGGGGACGACGUCAAGUCAUCAUGGCCCUUACGGCCAGGGCUACACACGUGCUACAAUGGUCGGUACAAAGGGUUGCUACACAGCGAUGUGAUGCUAAUCUCAAAAAGCCGAUCGUAGUCCGGAUUGGAGUCUGCAACUCGACUCCAUGAAGUCG